rnacentral:rRNA from 1 species
CCUACGGGUGGCAGCAGUGAGGAAUAUUGGUCAAUGGGCGCGAGCCUGAACCAGCCAAGUCGCGUGAGGGAAGACGGUCCUAUGGAUUGUAAACCUCUUUUGUCGGGGAGUCAAAGACGCCACGCGUGGCGUUCCGAGUGUACCCGAAGAAAAAGCAUCGGCUAACUCCGUGCCAGCAGCCGCGGUAAUACGGAGGAUGCGAGCGUUAUCCGGAUUUAUUGGGUUUAAAGUGUGCGCAGACGGAAGAUCAGGUCGCCGGUAAACUUGCGGGGCUAAACCUGUUCGAGCAGUGGAAACUGGUUGUCUUGAGUGAGUGAGAAGUAUGCGGAAUGCGUGGUGUAGCGGUGAAAUGCUUAGAUAUCACGCAGAACUCCGAUUGCGAAGGCAGCAUGCCGGCGCUCAACUGACGCUCAUGCACGAAAGUGUGGGUAUCGAACAGGAUUAGAUACCCUAGUAGUC